AGCGAACGCUGGCGGCAGGCCUAACACAUGCAAGUCGAACGGAUCCUUCGGGAUUAGUGGCGGACGGGUGAGUAACACGUGGGAACGUGCCCUUUGGUUCGGAACAACUCAGGGAAACUUGAGCUAAUACCGGAUGGGCCCUUCGGGGGAAAGAUUUAUCGCCAUUGGAGCGGCCCGCGUCUGAUUAGCUAGUUGGUGAGGUAACGGCCCACCAAGGCGACGAUCAGUAGCUGGUCUGAGAGGAUGAUCAGCCACACUGGGACUGAGACACGGCCCAGACUCCUACGGGAGGCAGCAGUGGGGAAUCUUGCGCAAUGGGCGAAAGCCUGACGCAGCCAUGCCGCGUGAAUGGUGAAGGUCUUAGGAUUGUAAAAUUCUUUCAGCGGGGACGAUAAUGACGGUACCCGCAGAAGAAGCUCCGGCUAACUUCGUG
rnacentral:rRNA from 1 species